rnacentral:vault_RNA from 1 species
GGGCUGGCUUUAGCUCAGCGGUUACUUCGACAAUGCUUCAGUUCGCUACUUAGCCACUCGUGGUCGAGUUCGAGCACCAUCAGCCAAUCGCUUGCAAAUCUGUGAGUGGUUGGUUCGAGGCCCGCGGGCGCUCUCCAGUCCUUUU